GUAGCUCAGUUGGUAGAGUGCUGGCCUGGCAUGCUNAAAGCCCUGGGUUUGAGCCCCAGC
rnacentral:tRNA from 1 species